GUCAUGCAGUCACAAGCAGGACGCCUCCAGCUCUGUCACCAUGAGUAUCUACAGCUGUGACUGCACCUAGGGAUAACUUUGACAUGGGACAGUGUAUACUAGCUUAAUGGAUGAUAAAUUGGCUGUUUUUGUGAUGUUACCCAUUACCAGGUGAUGGAGGAGGCCUGACAGAUUUUUUGUGCAUCAAUGUCAUUAUAAUUAUAACUUGAUCUGCUGUGGCAUCGGUCUUGAGAAAGGCCUGUUAACAGGCCGAAACGUCGACAUUAAAGCUACGGUGAUAUUCAACUAUCUAAA